rnacentral:lncRNA from 1 species
UUUUAUUCAAGGUCUACCUAAAUCUCUUUUGUCAAGGUUUAACUUAGGUUUCCAAUUAAAUCUAAUUAGUGGCCAGUCAACUAGAAGCAUUAGGAAUAGAAUAAAAUAAACAACUUAAUUCCAUAAAACAUAAGCAAAAGAGAGACAAAUAAAUAUGUCACGACCCGGUACUCCCCUCGAGCCCCUGACAACCACCGCGGUGUCACGGUAGACACUCAUUGCCCGGAUGUCAACCCGAAACCCUGUAAAGCUUUACUAUCAGUUUCUCAUUUCCCUUGUGAGCAACCAUUGUCAAAUAUCGUGUUCUAAAAGAUUUUAAGCUAUUUCCAAUUUAAAACAAAUAAAUUAUUAAUUUUCAUCUCACAGGGGUAUUUUGGUCAUUUUUCUCAAAAAUUUCGAAACUGGCUAAAAUGUAAUAUACAAGUACAAAACACAUAAUUCAUAAUCAAAAUGAGUUUAAAAGUCUAAAAUCUUCAUUUAAAACGAAAUUAUGGUUAUUUGAAUAUAAUAAAAAAAUAAAAGAAAUAUUAAGUAAAAUAUUCUAUUUUCUUAUAAAAUAAUAUUUAUAGAGUUAUACAUAAAUAAUUUUUAUAGCGUAAAAGCUAAAUAAAUUUAUACAUACUAUAAUACAGUAAGCCAAAAUAUUUAAUUUAAUUUACAAUAACAAGAGGGCCCCCGAAUAAACAAAAGUAAAGAGGACUGUGAACCUACGGUUUGGAAAAUGCAGAUCCAACGGUAAUCCUCGAUGAGAUCAGCUAUCUACAAUCUAUACUGAACCUGAAAUGGAUGGAAAAGAGGGUGGUGAGAUUACAAAAUCUCAAUGAGUAAACAGACAUCAUCAUAAACAUCUAGAGUUGAAUACAUGGAGACAAUAAAGUAAAUCAUCAUAAACUGGGUCACAGCAUUAGAACACAUUUCAUUCAAAAUACGUAAAGAGGCUUAUGAAUCUCAUAAAAACUAGGUCUGCGUCAUAAAUCCAUUCUCGGGGACACCUUGGCCGAGGCAUCCUACCGAGACCGCCAAGGCUGUUAAAAAUUUACAUUUUCACGUAAAACACAUUUUUCAUUGGACAUCACAACCGUUCCUUGGCGUUGGCUGAGUUCACCCUCACGUGGUGGUUUAGCGUGAAGUGAACCCUAAACUUUACUCCAAGAGAUACCCUACGCGCCUCUUCGUUCGAGGUAAGAAUAUAAUGGGAUUUACCGUGCCCCUCUAAAAGGUUGGUCCACAGAAACCCCUUAUUGUAGUGAUUAAUUAAUAUAUAAUCCACCAUAUAAUAAAACUCAAUAACAUGAUAUGACAAUUUUUGUAAUUCGCAGUCUUUCAAGGCAACCAAACAAUUCGUAUUUCAAUACAAUUGCCAACUAGCUAAUCAUGCUUGAUUUAUCAUAAGCCAAUCAAUUUAAACAAUCGAAUUGCAACAAUUAACAGUCUCUGUGUACUCUAUUUUCCAAAAUCACUAUUAAUUUCAAAACAAUUUAUAAAUUAAUUUCAUUGAAACACAUUUAUUCAUAAAAUAUGAAAAUUUACCUUUUUAAAUCCCUUUUUCCAUAGAAUUCAUGAAAUCAUCUAAAACCACCCUAGAUAAUUAAAAUGACAGUAAGUUUACUCACUAUGUCUAGAGUGCAGAUUCUCGAAAUACUCAGACUACUGGUCCUCGGAUACAAUUCCCUUGCCUUUAUCGGAGGACUCGUCACCUUGACAUAGUACAAAAUCGAGAAACUCACUACAUUAGUACUAAAUUGAAAUUAAACUAAUUUAAACUACUAAUGCAUGAUAUGGAAUGCAAAAAUGCACUGGUAACUAUCUAAACUCGGUAUUGGCCUAAUUCGUCUUAUCACUCGAUUAAAUUACUAACGCGUCUAAUUUAAUCCCAAAUUACUCCAAAUUGUUCCAAUAUCUUAAUUCACCAAACUCAAAUCAAAUAACCCAAAUUUGGCAAAACUAUCUUCACUUUUCUUCUUAAAAUUUUCGGCCAAUAAUGGUGCAUUAACACCGUGAUUUUUCCUACUACUUUUCCACACCAUAAUUCAUCAUUUUCUAACCAAUUCUCCUAGAAUAAAAAUCAAAUUCAUCCUCACUCAACACAUGGUAAAUUCGGCCAUUGAUGGUUGUUGGAGAAAAUAAAUUCUUUUCUUAUUGUUUUGUUUCUAAAUAUGCUAAACUAACUAAAAACACUAACAUAACUUAAAAUCAAAUCAAUCCAACAACUUUCUCUCUCCAUACCCAUUUUGAUCAGCCAUCAAUUCAUCAUGAAAACAUGUAAUUUAAGCAUGAAAAAUAAGGAGAAAUGCUUAAGGAAAAUAGAUUUCAAGCUUAAGUUGAAAAAUCCUACCUUUUUCACUUGUUUUCCUUGAUUUUCCACACUUUUUCUCUUGAAAUU